rnacentral:rRNA from 2 species
UCCGGUUGAUCCUGCCGGACCUGACUGCUAUCGGAUUGAUACUAAGCCAUGCGAGUCAUUGUAGCAAUACAAGGCAUACGGCUCAGUAACGCGUAGUCAACCUAACCUAUGGACGGGAAUAACCUCGGGAAACUGAGAAUAAUGCCCGAUAGAACACUAUACCUGGAAUGGUUUGUGUUCCAAAUGAUUUAUCGCCAUAGGAUGGGACUGCGGCCUAUCAGUUUGUUGGUGAGGUAAUGGCCCACCAAGACUAUUACAGGUACGGGCUCUGAGAGGAGUAGCCCGGAGAUGGGUACUGAGACACGGACCCAGGCCCUAUGGGGCGCAGCAGGCGAGAAAACUUUGCAAUGUGCGAAAGCACGACAAGGUUAAUCCGAGUGAUUUGUGCUAAACGAAUCUUUUGUUAGUCCUAGAAACACUAACGAAUAAGGGGUGGGCAAGUUCUGGUGUCAGCCGCCGCGGUAAAACCAGCACCUCAAGUGGUCAGGAUGAUUAUUGGGCCUAAAGCAUCCGUAGCCGGCUCUGUAAGUUUUCGGUUAAAUCUGUACGCUUAACGUACAGGCUGCCGGGAAUACUGCAGAGCUAGGGAGUGGGAGAGGUAGACGGUACUCGGUAGGAAGUGGUAAAAUGCUUUGAUCUAUCGAUGACCACCUGUGGCGAAGGCGGUCUACCAGAACACGUCCGACGGUGAGGGAUGAAAGCUGGGGGAGCAAACCGGAUUAGAUACCCGGGUAGUCCCAGCUGUAAACUAUGCAAACUCAGUGAUGCAUUGGCUUGUGGCCAAUGCAGUGCUGCAGGGAAGCCGUUAAGUUUGCCGCCUGGGAAGUACGUACGCAAGUAUGAAACUUAAAGGAAUUGGCGGGGGAGCACCACAAGGGGUGAAGCCUGCGGUUCAAUUGGAUUCAACGCCGGA